AGUGACAUCACAGGAAAAACCACCAACCAGAGCCAAGGAGACCAGAGCCCAGCCCCUUGCCCAGAGGACCCCAGUCAGAGGCCUUAUCUCAGACCCAAGGCUAGCAUGGGCUGCAGGCUGCUCUGCUGUGCGGUUCUCUGUCUCCUGGGAGCAGUCCCCAUGGACACUGGAGUUACCCAGACACCAAGACACCUGGUCAUGGGAAUGACAAAUAAGAAGUCUUUGAAAUGUGAACAACAUCUGGGGCACAAUGCUAUGUACUGGUACAAGCAGAAAGCUAGGAAGCCACCGGAGCUCAUGUUUAUCUACAACUUUAAAGAACCGGCUGAAAACAACAGUGUGCCCAGUCGCUUCGUACCUGAAUGCCCAGACAGCUCUCUCUUCUACCUUCACCUACACGCCCUGCAGCCAGAAGACUCAGCUCUGUAUCUCUGCGCCAGCAGCCAAGACACAGCCUUGCAGAGUCACCACGUUCCUGCGCAGAAACCUUCAGGGCCUGCCAGGAAGCUGUGGGGGCCACGGAGGGCUCGGGUGAACAUUUCCUGCAAGAGCCCCGACAGAAGCUUCAGAACAUCACAGCACCUGCUAAUUCAUCCAUGUGGCAACUUUACAUCCCGUGCUCAUAUUUAGAGUGUGGGUUUUCUUUAGCGUGUGACUCUGCCCUGUCAACUGAUUUGAAAACGAUAAACACAUUCAGAUCUAGUCUUUUUAAAAUCCCUUUUUAAAUUGUAAAAUAAA